CAGGUUAUGCGGAACGCGGUGGAAGGUGCGCACACGGAGAAUGGUCGCCAGCACCAGCAGGUUCCAGGCGAACGUCGCUGCCACCAGAACGCCCAGCAAGACAGGGAGGACCAAAGACAUUCUGUCUCCAGGCAUCAGAGACGUUUCAUGAAAUGGAGCACUGGAGCUCGGCCGUAGGAAGAAGAGGCGAGAUUCGCAGAGGCAUUCCAGUGGGGAAGUCGUUACAGACGGAGAGCUUGACUGUCUGCACAAGGCCUUGUAGGAAUUUAUAAUCACAGGUUCUUGUCCAUGAGAAAUCGGGGCGGUGGUUGUUUCUCCAGCCACAGCUUUGCCCUGUGGGUCCUCAGCACGCUCCUUCGCCUGUGUGUCUGCAGCCCCAGCCACGUCGCCUCCCUGGUCAGGCGUCCAUUCCUGGCCCUGCUGCUCUGCAUGAACUCCAAGGCCCAGGCCUCUGCUCAGGCUUCUCCUCUAAACAGGGAAGGGUGUCCCCUUC